CGGGGUGUGUAAUCCUCCACAUAUCUACUAAAGCAUUAUCCCUUAUUAGUUCCCUCAAUCUUUUUGCGUUGUUAAUCACAUUUCUAUCUAUUUUCCUAGAGGUACAUGUUCUGUUUUUUUUUUAUAAAGCUUUGGUUCCAUUGUGCAAUUAAAAUCUCCCAUAAGUAGCAGACUUGCUUUUUUUAUUCUUUCAAUCUUAAUAAACAUCUUCUAUAUAAACUUAAUUGGUGAUUUAUUAGGUACAUAGAUAUUUACCAAAGUAAAAGUAUCUAUGCGAAUCAUACAAAUCACAAUUGCAUAUCUAGCUUCUGUAUC